AACCUGAAUAGCACGCCGCGUGAGUGAGAAGUUUUCUGAUCUGUAAAGCUCUGUUUGUCAGAGAAGAACAGGACGGGAUUAUAUGAACGGCCCAUGACAUUAUCUGACCAGAAAGCCCCGGCUAACUCUGUGCCAGCAGCCGCGGUAAUACAUAGGUGGCAAGCGUUGUCCGGAUUUAAUGGGCGUAAAGCGAGCGCAGGCGGCUUCUUAAGUCUGAUGUGAAAGCCCCCGGCUCAACCUGGGAGCGUCAUCGGAUACUGGUAGACUAGAGUACAUAAGAGGAAAGUGGAAUUCCAUGUGUAGCGGUGAAAUGCGUAGAUAUCUGGAGGAACACCAAUGGCGAAGGCAGCUCUCUGGUCUGUUACUGACGCUGAGGCUCGAAAGCGUGGGUAGCAAACAGGAUUAGAUACCCUGGUAGUCCACGCCGUAAACGAUGACUGCUAAUCGUUGGAUCCCUUCAGCACUUCAUUACUGCACUAAACGCAUUAAUCACUCCCCCGGGGAAGUACGACCGCAGGGUUGAAAUUCAAUGGAUUUGACGGGGGCCCCCCCAACCGGGGAACCAUGUGGUUUAUUUCAUACCACCCCGAAAAACCUUACUGGUCUUGACAUCCUUUGACCCCUCUAGAGAUAGAGCUUUCCCUUCGGGAACAAAAUGACAGGUGCUGCAUGGCUGUCGUCAGCUCGUGUCGUGAGAUGUUGGGUUAAGUCCCGCAACGAGCGCAACCCUUAUCGUUAGUUACCAUCAUUUAGUUCGGCACUCUAACGAAACUGCCAGUGACAAACUGGAAGAAGGUGGGGACGACGUCAAUCAUCAUGCCCCUUAUGACCAGGGCUACCCACGUGCUACAAUUGGUAGUACACUAAGUCGCUACACAGCGAGGUGAUCUAAUCUCUUAAAGCCUCUCCUAAUCCUGA
rnacentral:rRNA from 1 species